AACUUUAGGGGUGCUGCAAAAAGUGGCUGAGAAAUACCCUCAACACCUGAACAGGGUAAUGCCUGCGAAGGGAAAAGUUGAUAUUU
rnacentral:ncRNA from 1 species